AGAUUUUGUGGUAAUUUCAACAUUUACUUUUAGAAUUGUAUUAUUACUACUACUAGUAUGAUUUUUUUUUUAAAUAAAGCACUAUUUUAAUUUUUGUUCAGCAUCUAAAAAGUAUUGGUUAAGUAAUUGGUAUCGGCCAGUGUGGUCAAUAUCAGUAUCUGCAAAGUCCACAAUCAGUCGAACUCUACUUUUGACCUCAACUAUCUGAAUUAGAAAUAAAGCGUGGGAUGUGCUUGAUGUUUAAAUUAGUUAAGCGCAAAAAAACCUUGAAAAAGAACUGGUGUAGUGCUUGCACACUGAAAGACACCCGAAAAGUGUGAAUUCAGAUCUCUUUCACAAGUUAUUGAGCUUCAGUGUUCUAACCCCUAACAUAAGUCUCUUCUUUCUUUCUUUUUCAGUUGCAGAUGCUGUAUUUUCUACUGAACCGAAAUUGGUGGAAACUGGUGGAAAAUGUGUUAUCAUACCCCUCACUAAACUGAAGAAGGCUGAAGUGAUUCGUUUGGAAGGAGAAAAACCACAUGUGUUUGUGUGUUACUACACCCGUGGGAAAAGAUGUUGGCGCUUAAAAGAAGAUGAAUUUUCACUGGAAUUUACAGGAGGAGACGUUUCCUUAAUUCUUAAAGAAAUCCGCUCCAAAAUCGUUAAAGUAAAAGUCUUUACCAGAAGAUAUGUUAUUUGGAAAUAUGUUGUCAAAAAACCAGAACUGGACCCCCCCACCUCCGGGGGAACUGAUCACGGUGGCCACGGGUACCUGGGGAAAUGUAGGGCAAUAGCCUGAUGAACCCCUGCUGUUUCCAGAUGUGGUGCACAAACGGAAACAGCUGCUGAGAAAACAAUGAAGAUCUGCUGGGUACUUGACUUGCUACUAAGUGUCAUAAAAUGUUAAGUACUGUAUUACUCCUAACACUUUAUUUAGAUUUGUUUACACUCUUGGUCCAAAUCUGACUUUGUCUAUAUCCAGUUGAAAUCAAAUAAUACUACGUAAACUACAUUCCUAUAUUAUUUGAAAUACCGUUUCUAAAAAUCCUUCUCAGUAUUAUGCAGGGUUGGGUGAUAAUGAUACGGAUAAUUGUUGUGAAAUAAUCUUACUUGACAAUGAUAACAAGAGUUCGCUAGAUGCUCGAUAUAAUGUUUACUGUAAGUGCCAAAAGUAAUUUAUCUGGUGUGUUUACGAGUCUCAGUCUCGUGAGCACUAAACAGCGCUGUGAGAUUAGGCAAACCUAUCCAACCUUUGCCUCCGAUACCACUGAUGUUUUCUUCCCCCCAUUUAAAUAUUUUUAGAAUUUAUAUAUCUAUAUGUGUGGAACAGAUAAUCAUUCUUUCACAAUCUACUAAAUACAGACUUCUUCAUUAUAAGAAGAAAAAAAAACUAUGAAAAAAUAUAGCACUUGCAUUUAUACUAAAUUGACUGCUGUUUUUCACACAAAUACCAUGAAACUCCAGUUACAUUUUUACCAUGGUAUUGAGGUACUAUACGUUUGCUUUUAACUGUGAUUGUCAUGAUCUAUAUAAAUGUAUGCUACUAUAAAUAGACCAAUGGUUAAUAAACUCAAAUCAGUCAGAAUAAAUACAUUUGACCGUAUAAAAUGAGGUUGUUACAAUUUUUACAGAUGUAACUAUUUUUGAUAAUCAAAGCAAGGCAAUUUCAUACACAGUGUUAAUUCAAAUUGCUUUACAUGAAAGGAAGCAACAUAAUAAUAACAAUGAAUAUCAACAUAAAAUGGACAGAAAUGAACAUCUGCAUCUUAACUUGAGCUACUACUGCUAAGAGUCUCCAAGAGACACACAAAAAUACGAAUAGAUAAUAUUAAUAAUUAAUACGAGUCAUUGGUCAUUUAGUUCUGAUCAUAAAACCAUUAAAGCCACUCGAGUCACACAGUUCAAAACCACUAAAACAUUCUAGAAAACUUUCACCUAGGAGCAAAAAUCUGCCUUUAAACUUGAAAGAAGUAAAGAUUUCAUAUUUAUUGUGAUAAUUAUCGAUAUCGAUUGAUAUGAAGACGUUUGUGAUUAAUUUUGAUCAUAUCGCCCAGCCCUAGUCUGAUAACUCAAUACCUUUUUUGCACUUUUUAUGUCAGAUCCACCAGUCACUAGUGGAAAUAAAUGAAAUGAAGGCUUUCUACUGUACCUUUCUGCCACUGCUAAUAAGAUAUAGUAAUCCACUGCUGUGUUAUUGUCAUUUUGAACGAUGAUGUAUUACAAACACUUCCAUGGUGCAAUAGAUUUUUUUGUGUGCAAUAAUCAGAUUUGGACUGAGAGUGAGAAUGUACUGUAGUCUUUAGACGCCAGUGAACUUGCCAAACUUUCCGUUAUUCAUUCUUCAUCUCAAACUUAUCUCUAUUCAUAAUCAGAUUGUAUUUUAAACGCACUUUUGUUUCUUGUCAGAGUGCAGAAACUUGAACACUUGUGAUGAUGUUAGGCAGAUUGUAGCUUUAGAUUUUAACAAGUGCUUUCUGCUUAUUGUGCAACGUAAUUCACUACCCUAUAUAAAGAUAUCUAUAUAAAAGUAUAUUCAUUCUUUAAUUAAGUGACAUUUUUGCAGAAUUAAUAUAUAAUUUCUUCAAUGCCUUGUUAUAUUUUAAUCAAAUAAAUAUUUUGCACCACAUAUUUAUCCCAACACUUUGACUGUCUGACUGUUUUUUUGUUUAGAGCGACACAGCUGGGUUUGGGGUUGUAGGUCUGUCAUCUAAAGUCUUUAUUUUUUAAGAACCAUGCAGAUAAACUGAUAACCAGCUGCUAGGUUUGCUGUGGCAGUUUUAGAUCACAGAAACAAGGUCAGCAUGGGGAAAUUUUGUUACAGGGCACACGUCAACAUUCAUCUUAAAUCAUUUUUUCACUCAACCCCUUUUGACUUUGAUGAGACAAUGAAGAAAUUGGACUUAUUCUGCAGGUCCAAGCGUAAUGUUGGAAUCACGUUGGCUGACCUGCUGCUCUUUACAAUCUCAUGGGAAAAACAAUGACCGCAGUUCUGAAUGGUUUGUUGUGUGUUAUGUUGUGUAGUGGGUUUGUUG